rnacentral:lncRNA from 1 species
GUCCCGUCCACAGUGCGUCAGUAGCCGUAAAUACGUCAACAGCCAUCUUUGAAUUUUAGGGUAUGUGUGUAAAGAUGCUAUUUCCGAUAAGCCUGAGCCUGUGAUUUCAAGAUGAGAUAUUUCAGUUCAGACAGAUUUGCAAAAACGUCGCUUAUCCCGGGCUAUAUGCAAAAGGCGGCCUGGCCUCUAUCAGCUAUGAGUGCUGACUCAUCUUAUCUAAUCUUAUCUGAUGAGAUAAGGCAUUCAGUUGUCUUCAUCAUCAUCUGCUAAUUCAACAUCAUGGAUUAUCUACAGUGUUUAAGGACUUUUUCUCCACAGUAAAAGCUUGGAAAAUCGUGAAUUUUUGAGAGAUGCACAUUUUGUAGUGAAACAACUAUUUUCCUCACCUGCUCCAGUCACUACAUUCCUGUCUUGUUUCGUCUUAAGUUAAAUCUCACUAGUUGUAACC